AAAUGUUUAUGACUUUCUAUAGGUGGUUAGUGGAAUUUUGCACAAUAUAGAAUUCACCAUCCAGGAGACUUCCUGUCCUAAAAGACCACCUGUGUCUGACAUCACUCAAUGCUCUUUCCUUCCUACUGAAACUGCAGUGAGAGGCCUAUGCAAAGGCUCUAAGAUAGAAACCUGGAAAGUAGGUACCAACAUUGUCACUGCGAAUUGUGAACUCUUUCCACAUCCGUCUGGGUCUGAACACCAAGAGCUACACCAUCUUCAUGUUAAUGCCACAGAAACAUCCACAAAACAGAAGGAAACAGUUGUCAACCAUGAACCUUCGAGGGAGCAUGCUGUGCCAGAAGCGCAGGAGCCCAAUCCAAGCUCUCGCCCUAGUCUUGCUUCUCCACAAGAGAUAGCCAAGUCUCAUUUGACCAAACCAACCAUUCCUCCCUUCCCCAAGGGAUUUUCACAAUCAGCUUCAUGCCCAGGUGAGGUUGCAAUACAGAUCCCUGGUCUUCAACUACCUUCACCGCCACUGGCUGAAGCUUCCCAAGCAGGGAGUGAUGGACAACACUGAAAACUUUAUUCAGGAAUGUUUCUCCUUCCCUCCC